AAGACUGUACUUCACAGGAUCAUUUCUGUAGUACGUCUUCACUUCUCUCUACUCAACUGUAGAGUCAAUGAAACCACGAGGAUGAGACGAAGUCUUCUUCCCUGAGCGUGAGGCCGACUGAAAUCAGCUCUUGCUGAUGACAGCCAUCGAUGAUCGUUCACACUCUGCUUGCAGAGUGCACGGGGGAGACGGAGAGGG